AUGAGGGCGAGGGUGGCGCUGGAGCCGCUGGCCGAGGAGCCCGGCGCCGAGGACGAGUCGGGGGCGCGGCGGCGGUCCGGGCUCCAGGCCACGCUGCACCGCUGGGCGCGCAUCCUCUCCGGCGGCGCCGCCGGGGACGACGCCCGCCCCGCCGCCGACCUCCGUGUGCUUCUCUCCGUCCUCGCCUGCCCCCUCUCCCCCGUGCCCAUCCUCCCGCGCCUCCCCCGACACGUGGCGUCGUCGGCGCAGUACAUAAUCGAGCAGUUCAGGGCGACGACGGGGUGCGGGAAGCUGGAGGGCACGGCCAAGAGCAUGUACGCGGCGGGCAAGGUGCGGCUGGCGAUGCUGCAGGAGCCUGCCGGAGCGGGCCACGCCAACGGAAACGCCGGGCGGUGCCACGAGGGGAGCUUCGUGGUCUGGCAGCUCGCGCCCGGCAUGUGGCUCGUCGAGAUGGCCGUGGCCGGCCACAGCGUCGCCGCCGGCAGCGACGGCCGCGUUGCCUGGCGCCGCACGCCCUGGCUCGGCGCGCACGCCGCGCGGGGCGGCUCGCGCCCACUCCGCCGCGCCCUCCAGGGCCUGGACCCGGUGAUGAUCGCGUCCAUCUUCUCGACGGCCGAGCACGCCGGCGAGAAGCAGGUCGACGGGGAGGACUGUUUCGUGCUGCGCCUCGACGUGGGCCCCUCGACGCUGUCGAGCUGGAGUGACGGCACGGCGGAGGUGAUCCGGCACGGCCUCACGGGGUUCUUCAGCCAGCGGAGCGGCCUCCUGGCGCGCCUCGAGGACUCGCAGCUCACCCGCAUCCAGUCCCCGGGCGCCGCCGCCAUGUACUGGGAGACCACCAUCGCGUCGACGCUCGCCGACUACCGCCCCGUCGACGGCGGCGUCACCGUGGCGCACGCGGGGCGGUCCACGGCGCACCUCGCCCGGUUCGGCGUCGGCGUGCGCGCCGCGCGGGUGGUGACGCGGAUGGAGGAGUCAUGGACCAUCGACGACGUGGCGUUCGACGUGCCGGGGCUGGGCCCCGACGCCUUCAUCCCGCCGGAGGAGGUCAGGCGGAGCCGCCUCUACGACGCCAUGGCCGCCGGCGGCGGCAAGUGA
rnacentral:rRNA from 1 species